rnacentral:rRNA from 1 species
AUCAUUAAUUAUGUUAAAGCGCCUUACCUCUUAGGGUUUCCUCUGGGGUAAGUGAUUGCUUCUACACUGUGAAAAUUUGGCUGAGAGACUCAGACUGGUCAUGGGUAGACCUAUCUGGGGUUUGAUCGAUGCCACUCCUGGUUUCAGGAGCACCCUUCAUAAUAAACCUAGAAAUUCAGUAUUAUAAAGUUUAAUAAAAAACAACUUUUAACAAUGGAUCUCUUGGUUCUCGCAUCGAUGAAGAACGUAGCAAAGUGCGAUAACUAGUGUGAAUUGCAUAUUCAGUGAAUCAUCGAGUCUUUGAACGCAGCUUGCACUCUAUGGUUUUUCUAUAGAGUACGCCUGCUUCAGUAUCAUCACAAACCCACACAUAACAUUUGUUUAUGUGGUAAUGGGUCGCAUCGCUGUUUUAUUACAGUGAGCACCUAAAAUGUGUGUGAUUUUCUGUCUGGCUUGCUAGGCAGGAAUAUUACGCUGGUCUCAGGAUCUUUUUCUUUGGUUCGCCCAGGAAGUAAAGUACAAGAGUAUAAUCCAGCAACUUUCAAACUAUGAUCUGAAGUCAGGUGGGAUUACCCGCUGAACUUAAGCAUAUCAAUAAGCGGAGGAAAAGAAAAUAACAAUGAUUUCCCUAGUAACGGCGAGUGAAGAGGAAAGAGCUCAAAGUUGGAACCUGUUUGGCCUAGCUAAACCGGAUUGUAGACUGUAGAAGUGUUUUCCAGGCAAGCCGAGUAAAUAAGUCCUUUGGAACAGG